rnacentral:lncRNA from 1 species
GGGUGGAUGAUGGGGCCCAAUGAGCACCCACACUCUAAUUAUUACCCUCAAUCCUUUGCCUAUAUAUAUAGGACUUUGUAAAUUCAAGAGGGGGCAUCGACUCUUCAACCUGGUAUAAUAAAAUCUUUCUUUGAAAAACUCUCUCUCAUAUACUCUUACUCUCUCAAAAAUGUCAAAAGAUCUAGCAUCAACUACGGAACUAAUGGAGCAAAAUAAGGUACGCAAUUUU